rnacentral:sRNA from 1 species
CAAGUCGUAACAAGGUUUCCGUAGGUGAACCUGCGGAAGGAUCAUUAAAAAAUGAAUACGAGGUCAUGAAAUCUCAGACCCCUCCUGCGUACUUGUUCAUGUUGCUUCCGCGAGUUGGAUGUGUGUGUAUUACAUACCAGCCAGCGUCCCUUCUGGAGGGUAGCGUGCUCGCGGAAGGUAUUCCAAACCUCGCUUUCAUUGUGUAGUCUGAACUAUUGUUAUCAUUGAAAACAUCAAAACUUUCAACAACGGAUCUCUUGGUUCUCGCAUCGAUGAAGAGCGCAGCGAAAUGCGAUAAGUAGUGUGAAUUGCAGAAUUCCGUGAAUCAUCGAGUUCUUGAACGCAUAUUGUGCCUCUUGGUAUUCCAGGGGGCAUGCCUGUUCGAGCGUCAUCGAAAACCCAUCGGUAUGAUUGGUGUUGAAAAUUCACCAUUUCUCCGGUAUUGAACUUGGGGCAACGACACACGGUGCCCCUGUUCGAAAUGCAAUGGCUUGAGUGUCUCCUUGACGAGUGUAAUAUGUUCCAAAAAUCACUCAAUUGGGUUGAUGUCCAACGCAUGAUAGCUUUCCACUUCACUUUUUAUGACCUCGGAUCAGGUAAGGAUACCCGCUGAACUUAA